rnacentral:rRNA from 1 species
UACGAAGGGGGCUAGCGUUGCUCGGAAUUACUGGGCGUAAAGGGAGCGUAGGCGGACAUUUAAGUCAGGGGUGAAAUCCCAGAGCUCAACUCUGGAACUGCCUUUGAUACUGGGUGUCUUGAGUGUGAUAGAGGUAUGUGGAACUCCGAGUGUAGAGGUGAAAUUCGUAGAUAUUCGGAAGAACACCAGUGGCGAAGGCGCUCUGCUGGACCAUAACUGACACUCAGGGACGAAAGCUAGGGGAGCGAAUGGG